CAAGGUGUCGCAGUGGUUAACGAAUCUGAAUGGGAACCAUGAGGUUGCAGGUUCGAUCCCUGCCCUUG
rfam:Sus scrofa chromosome 6.